CACAUCACCCUUCAGGUUGAUAAGGCAAACAUGUUAGCAAACUGCUGCCUAUUUGCACAUCCAGCUGACACGGAGCAUCACAAGCAUUCAUUUGGAAGUUGCGUUUCUUGCCACAAGUCAAAUAUUCACUUUCACUUUUUAGCUAGUUUUAAGUCUCCAACAACUUCUGAAGAAAACAAAUCUGACUGAGCUGCUAAAUGCUAUUCUGCUAUGUUGACAUGCUAGUGGCUAACUGUGUCUGUCUGCCGUUUCCUGCUGGCCAGCUUGUCUUCAGGUGAAGAGGACAUGAUGUGCCAUGAAGACUGUUGGCUGUGACUAAACCUCAGAAGACCGAACACAGAGGAUGCUUCAGGAGUUGAUGCGGAGACCUGCAACACCGGGAAACUGAACGCUGCUGACCACGUUCACCUGACACGAGGAAGUGUUUCAGAAAACACAGUGUGCAGAUAAAACAUACACCAUCAUCAUACUUCCUUCUAUUUAACCAAACAAAAAAAUUUUCCAUUACUAUUCUCCUUGACCAGCCUCUGCUUGGUGCUUAGUCAUAGUAUCACCAAAUGAACUACAGAAGAAUUUGCUGGUUAGAUUACUAAUUUAACCUGGAAUAUGUAAAGCAGUUAAGUGGUGGAAGAAGCAUUCAGAUGCUUUAUUCAAGAAAAAGUGGCAAGAAACUCUAUUACAA